rnacentral:lncRNA from 1 species
GACAUGUAGUCCAAAAUCCUCCAGUACUCUUGGAUGUUAGUUUUCGGGUUUGGUUUCAGGGCAUGGACAACGUCCGGGAAUUGAAUCCCAUCACGGAUGAAGAACACCGGGGUAUUGUUCCCAACAAGAUCAAAGUUCCCCUGAGUUUAUUAAAAACAACAUCAAGAGACAUCAGUGCUGAUUCUAAAGAAACUAUGAGGACAGAUCAAAAAUGGAAACUUGAAGAUCUUAUAGUAAAAUACCUCUCUGGUGUAAAACUUGACAGCAAAACCACGAAUAUCCCUCAUGGUUUCAGGACUGGCACGCUCGUGGACGACGGUGGAGAAACGGACAAUAACGGGAGUCUGAACACCAGGGGCUCUGAGGAAAUCAGCACAAGUGAGGUUUGAAAUGUCAUGGGUAACCUCAAAGAAACCCUUAGCACUGAUUCCUCUGGC